GCCUUUCAGAAGAACUACAUGCUUUUCAAAGGGCCGUGUCGCCAAAUAUUGACAUAAAUAAACACGUUGACAUAAAUACUGAAAGUUUUUACAAAAAUUAAGAAAUGAAAACUGAUUGACUAGAGUCUAGAUCAGGGCCGUAGCUAGAGGGGAGGGGGUGUAUAUUCAUAUAUUCGAUCGUGUUCUGCCCGACGGAUUUCUUUUGAAAGAAAUUUUACGUUUUUACGCUACCACGCCCCCAAUCUCGUGUCUAGCUACGGCCCUAGUCUAGAUAUUCUCUGAAGAACUAGCAGACAUUGAGCUAAAGUUACUGUGAAUAUAGUCAUCCAGUCUCACAUCUUGAUUCAUCAUCUGCCAAAAUGUUGUCAACAAGUUGUCUUCGCACUGCUUGUUCCAAGUUGUCAACAAGUUUGAAACAAACUGUUAACAACUUGUAACAAGCUUGUUGAUAUUAUCAGACUUGUUACAAGGUUGUUCCAACAGGUUCGAUACAGUCAUGAUGACAUGACAUAACAAUAUUGUUACAACUUGUGUCAUCAACCUUGUAACAUUCUUGUUAUAUCAUGACUGUAUCAGAUUUGUUAGAACAAUUUUGCUACAAGUCUGAUAAUGAUAUCAAGCUUGUUACAAGUUGUUAACAGCUUGUUCCGUGUGUAGAUGCUUUGCCUGAGUUUCAUAAACACGUAAAAAUGCACAAGUUGUCACAGGUCUGCAAACAGGUUGUUACAAAGCUGUUCACAAGAAGCUGUCGACAAGUUGUAUUCGCACUGCUUGUUCCCAGUUGUUG